GAUGAACGCUGGCGGCGUGCCUAAUACAUGCAAGUCGAGCGAACAGACGAGAGUGCUUGCACUCUCUGACGUUAGCGGCGGCCGGGUGAGUAACACGUGGGUAACCUACCUAUAAGACUGGGAUAACUUCGGGAAACCGGAGCUAAUACCGGAUAAUAUUUAGCUUCGCAUGAAGCAAUAGUGAAAGACGGUUCUGCUGUCACUUAUAGAUGGACCCGCGGUGUAUUAGCUAGUUGGUGAGGUAACGGCUCACCAAGGCAACGAUACAUAGCCGACCUGAGAGGGUGAUCGGCCACACUGGGACUGAGACACGGCCCAGACUCCUACGGGAGGCAGCAGUAGGGAAUCUUCCGCAAUGGACGGAAGUCUGACGGAGCAAUGCCGCGUGAGUGAAGAAGGUUUUCGGAUCGUAAAACUCUGUUGUAAGGGAAGAACAAGUACGUUAGUAACUGAACGUACCUUGACGGUACCUAACCAGAAAGCCACGGCUAACUACGUG
rnacentral:rRNA from 1 species